rnacentral:rRNA from 1 species
GCAAGCCUGAUCCAGCCAUGCCGCGUGAGUGAUGAAGGCCCUAGGGUUGUAAAGCUCUUUCGCCGACGAAGAUAAUGACGGUAGUCGGAGAAGAAGCCCCGGCUAACUUCGUGCCAGCAGCCGCGGUAAUACGAAGGGGGCUAGCGUUGUUCGGAAUCACUGGGCGUAAAGCGCACGUAGGCGGAUUGUUAAGUCAGGGGUGAAAGCCUGGAGCUCAACUCCAGAACUGCCCUUGAUACUGGCAAUCUCGAGUCCGGAAGAGGUAAGUGGAACUG